CGCCGCCCGUCCUCGCAGCGGGCUGCUCUGACCCUCCGUGGCGCGGGCCGCGGCCGUGCGGCGUGGCCGCCUGUCCUCGGUGAACCGCAGGCGCCCGGGGCGGCGCCUCCCGCACUGCCGACUCCUAGGCCUGGGGCAGCGGCCCGUUAGCGAGUGUGCCUUGGCCCUGGUUUCCCAGUUAUCUGCUGCGCCACGACCAGUCACUGCAAACCGCAGGUGCUAAAGACGGAAACGUCUCUGAGUCGCACCGUUCCGGAGGGUCACUGCUGGGGUGGCCGGAGGUGGGGCAGCUCGUCAUCGCAGCGCCUGUCCGCCCCAUGGGACUGCUCGAGUGUCGUUACAACGCAGCGGGUGGUCCAGAGAGCCAGGACGAAGUCCCGGUGCUUCCAGAGUCACCUAUGUCGUCACCCAGUUCGGCCCCUCCGACCGGGAAGGACGACCGGGGCCGUGACACCGACGGGCAGGAUCCCAGGGCCGACGCGAGGCUGCCGGCCGCUCCCGGUGCAGGUGGAGAGGCACCAGCUGCCCCCGAGCUCGCACCGUGACGCCCGGGGGCUGGAAGGGUGCCAUGGUGUCUACACAGCAAUGACAGAGUGAGAAGCUGCUCCGUGCGACCCAGAGGAAUCUCAGACAGAAGACGACGCAACUGUGGAAGAGCACACGGGGUGACUCCAUCCACAUGGCGCUGCGGGGCAGAAAACUACUAGAGGAUGCGCUCCAUUGAGAUGAGGGCAUCGGCGAAGAAAGAGGAUGCCAGGAAUACAGCUCGAAGUUCCCUCCAUUGUUGUCACCAAUGACUUCAGCACCCAAGGAGAAGAGUGUUGUCCCCAGAAGCUUCUGUGAAAAGUUUGAGGU